AGUGAACGCUGGCGGCGUGCCUAAUACAUGCAAGUCGAACGAUGUGGCGCACGGGUGAGUAAUAUAUAGUUAAUCUGCCCUACAUUGAGGAACAACAGACGGAAACGACCGCUAAUACCUCAUAGUGUAGUAUGAGACUAUAUGGUAUCAGCUAGUUGGUAAGGUAUUGGCUUACCAAGGCUAUGACGGGUAACUGGUGUGAGAGGAUGAUCAGUCACAUUGGAGGUGAGACACAGUCCAAAAUCCUACGGGAUGCAGCAGAAAGGGAUAGUGCGCAAUGGGGGGAACCAUGACGCAGCAACGGCGCGUGGAGGAUGACACUUUUCGGAGAAUAAACUCCUUUUAUCAGGAAAGCGGUACCUGAAGAAUAAGCACCGGCUAACUCCGUGCCAGCAGCCGCGGUAAUAC
rnacentral:rRNA from 1 species